rnacentral:rRNA from 1 species
UACAGCCACACCACUUUGAAAUACCGAUUCCCGUACGAUCACCGAAGUUAAACAACGUCGAGCCUGGUUAGUACCCAGAUGGGUGACUGCUUGGGAAUACUAGGUGCUUC